ensembl:lncRNA
AUCUCUCAGUGGUUUCUCUCUCUCUCUCCCUACGUUAAGGUACAUUCUGAUAGAUCUCUCAGUGGUUUCUCUCUCUCUCUCCCUACGUUAAGGUACAUUCUGAUAGAUCUCUCAGUGGUUUCUCUCUCUCUCCCUACGUUAAGGUACAUUCUGAUAGAUCUCUCAGUGGUCUCUCUCUCUCUCCCUACGUUAAGGUACAUUCUGAUAGAUCUCUCAGUGGUCUCUCUCUCUCUCCCUACGUUAAGGUACAUUCUGAUAGAUCUCUCAGUGGUCUCUCUCUCUCUCCCUACGUUAAGGUACAUUCUGAUAGAUCUCUCAGUGGUCUCUCUCUCUCUCCCUACGUUAAGGUACAUUCUGAUAGAUCUCUCAGUGGUUUCUCUCUCUCUCCCUACGUUAAGGUACAUUCUGAUAGAUCUCUCAGUGGUCUCUCUCUCUCUCCCUACGUUAAGGUACAUUCUGAUAGAUCUCUCAGUGGUUUCUCUCUCUCUCCCUACGUUAAGGUACAUUCUGAUAGCCCUGGUUGGAGUCAACGGUUUGGUUUCCUGAUGCUGAAAAACAUGCUUUGUAUUUCAACGCAUUGCGGAAUGUGACACCCACACAUCAAGCUGUUCCUCUAAACAGAAACAACAUGAGAUGCUGUUCUCUGAACAGAAACAACAUGAGAUGUGUAUCAGCAGACUACAGAUGAGAUGUGUAUCAGCAGACUACAGAUGAGAUGUGUUACAGGAACAGGGAGGAGACCAGGAUGUAUUCACAAAUGGCACCCUAUUCCCUAUAUAGUGCACCCUAUGUGCUCUGGUCUAAAGUAGUGCACUAUGUAGGGAAUAGGGCUGUGGUCUAAAGUAGUGCACAAUAUAGGAAAUAGGGCUCUGGUCUAAAGUAGUGCACUAUAUAGGGAAUAGGGCUCUGGUCUAAAGUAGUGCACUAUAUAGGGAAUAGGGCUCUGGUCUAAAGUAGUGCACUAUAUAGGGAAUAGGGCUCUGGUCUAUAGUAAUGCUCUAUAUAGGGUUCUGGUCUAAAGUAGUGCACUAUAUAGGGAAUAGGGCUCUGGUCUAAAGUAGUGCACUAUAUAGGGAAUAGGGCUCUGGUCUAAAGUAGUGCACUAUAUAGGGAAUAGGGCUCUGGUCUAAAGUAGUGUACUAUAUAGGGAAUAGGGCUCUGGUCUAAAGUAGUGUACUAUACAGGGAAUAGGGCUCUGGUCUAAAGUAGUGUACUAUAUAGGGAAUAGGGCUCUGGUCUAAAGUAGUGUACUAUACAGGGAAUAGGGCUCUGGUCUAAAGUAGUGCACUACAUAGGGAAUAGGGUGCCAUUUAGGAUGCAGGAACACCACUCUCCUUGCACAUCCCGUAGUGAACAGAUCAAUAGUUCUGAAGCUGUCAUCUCUGAGUUGAGGCAACUCAAUGUCAUUACCAAAAGCAUUAAUAUGAAAGUGUUAUUGAAUAUAACACCAUUAGAUGCUGCUUGGCUGUUCUCUGAAUACAACACCAUUAGAUGCUGCUUGGCUGUUCUCUGAAUAGAACACCAUUAGAUGCUGUUUUCUGAAUACAACACCAUUAGAUGCUGUUCUCUGAAUACAACACCAUUAGAUGCUGUUCUCUGAAUACAACACCAUUAGAUGCUGUUCUCUGAAUACAACACCAUUAGAUGCUGUUCUCUGAAUACAACACCAUUAGAUGCUGUUCUCUGAAUACAACACCAUUAGAUGCUGUUCUCUGAAUACAACACCAUUAGAUGCUGCUUGGCUGUUCUCUGAAUACAACACCAUUAGAUGCUGUUCUCUGAAUACAACACCAUUAGAUGCUGCUUGGCUGUUCUCUGAAUACAACACCAUUAGAUACUGCUUGGCUGUUCUCUGAAUACAACACCAUUAGAUGCUGCUUGGCUGUUCUCUGAAUACAACACCAUUAGAUGCUGUUCUCUGAAUACAACACCAUUAGAUGCUGCUUGGCUGUUCUCUGAAUAGAACACCAUUAGAUGCUGCUUGGCUGUUCUCUGAAUAGAACACCAUUAGAUGCUGUUCUCUGAAUACAACACCAUUAGAUGCUGCUUGGCUGUUCUCUGAAUAGAACACCAUUAGAUGCUGUUCUCUGAAUAGAACACCAUUAGAUGCUGCUUGGCUGUUCUCUGAAUACAACACCAUUAGAUGCUGCUUGGCUGUUCUCUGAAUACAACACCAUUAGAUGCUGUUCUCUGAAUACAACACCAUUAGAUGCUGCUUGGCUGUUCUCUGAAUACAACACCAUUAGAUGCUGCUUGGCUGUUCUCUGAAUAUAACACCAUUAGAUGCUGCUCGGCUGUUCUCUGAAUAUAACACCAUUAGAUGCUGCUUGGCUGUUCUCUGAAUACAACACCAUUAGAUGCUGCUUGGCUGUUCUCUGAAUACAACACCAUUAGAUGCUGCUUGGCUGUUCUCUGAAUACAACACCAUUAGAUGCUGCUUGGCUGUUCUCUGAAUACAACACCAUUAGAUGCUGCUUGGCUGUUCUCUGAAUACAACACCAUUAGAUGCUGCUUGGCUGUUCUCUGAAUACAACACCAUUAGAUGCUGCUUGGCUGUUCUCUGAAUACAACACCAUUAGAUGCUGCUUGGCUGUUCUCUGAAUACAACACCAUUAGAUGCUGCUUGGCUGUUCUCUGAAUAGAACACCAUUAGAUGCUGCUUGGCUGUUUUCUAUACUCUCAUUUCCAUCCCAAUCGAUCCCCUAUAUACUGUAGGCCUUUAUCAUACACUUCAAUGCUGAGGCCAUAUUGAUUUCUGGGUCAGAACCACUGUAGCUGUACAGGACACGGUGCUGUCAUCAGACUCUCUCUGACCGGGUCAGAACCACUGUAGCUGUACAGGACACGGUGCUGUCAUCAGACUCUCUCUGACCGGGUCAGAACCACUGUAGCUGUACAGGACACGGUGCUGUCAUCAGACUCUCUCUGACCGGGUCAGAACCACUGUAGCUGUACAGGACACGGUGCUGUCAUCAGACUCUCUCUGACCGGGUCAGAACCACUGUAGCUGUACAGGACACGGUGCUGUCAUCAGACUCUCUCUGACCGGGUCAGAACCACUGUAGCUGUACAGGACACGGUGCUGUCAUCAGACUCUCUCUGACCGGGUCAGAACCACUGUAGCUAUACAGGACACGGUGCUGUCAUCAGACUCUCUCUGACCGGGUCAGAACCACUGUAGCUGUACAGGACACGGUGCUGUCAUCAGACUCUCUCUGACCGGGUCAGAACCACUGUAGCUGUACAGGACACGGUGCUGUCAUCAGACUCUCUCUGACCGGGUCAGAACCACUGUAGCUGUACAGGACAUGGUGCUGUCAUCAGACUCUCUCUGACCGGGUCAGAACCACUGUAGCUGUACAGGACACGGUGCUGUCAUCAGACUC